GAUGAAGAACGUAGCGAAAUGCGAUAAGUAAUGUGAAUUGCAGAAUUCAGUGAAUCAUCGAAUAUUUGAACGCACCUUGCGCCCUUUGGCUAUUCCGAAGGGCAUGCCUGUUUGAGUAUCGUGAACACCUCAACUCUCAUGGUUUGCCAUGAUGAGCUUGGACUUUGGGGGUUUUGCUGGCCUUUGGUCGGCUCCUCUCAAACGGAUCAGCUUUCCAGUGUUUGGUGGCGUCACGGGUGUGAUAACUAUCUACGCCUGUGGUUUUCUGCCAGAUAACCUUCAGCGAUGGAGGUUCGCUGGGGCUCAUAAAUGUCUCUCUUCAGUGGAGACAGCUUUUUGGACGUUUGAUCUCAAAUCAGGUAGGACUACCCGCUGAACUUAAGCAUAUCAAUAAGCGGAGGA
rnacentral:misc_RNA from 1 species